rnacentral:rRNA from 1 species
GGGCGCACGCGCGCUACACUGACGGAGCCAGCGAGUUCUAACCUUGGCCGAGAGGUCUGGGUAAUCUUGUGAAACUCCGUCGUGCUGGGGAUAGAGCAUUGUAAUUAUUGCUCUUCAACGAGGAAUUCCUAGUAAGCGCAAGUCAUCAGCUUGCGUUGAUUACGUCCC